UGUUUCACGUGAGAGAAGCUGCAUCUAGGGGCUCUUUAACAUCCUUGCAAAGUGAACUUUAUGAGGACUUGACUGGACGGAAGCAGAUAAUGGAUAACAUUGAUACAGGGAUAUCGAUGUUAAAAGGUCUUGUCCCGCCUUCUCAAGUUCUCAUAGUUUUAGAUGAUGUGGAUUCUGAUGAGCAGCUGCGGGCAUUAUUUUCACCGUUGAAGGA
rnacentral:pre_miRNA from 1 species